rnacentral:lncRNA from 1 species
GGGACACAGCAAGUGGAUGAACCUUCAGCCUCUGUCCCACUGAAUGCCAGGGGGCUGUCACAAUUACAGGAAAACCAAAAGUCUGCUACCUCCCAGACUCCUAGACACUCAAAGGUCACUUAGGGAGCAGCACCUGGGACACAAGCUCUGGAAGAUGAGGAAGGAACUAAAUUGAUAGGAAAAAGAAACAUCUUCUGAGCCGAUAGUUUCCUUCAAAACCAUGUCGGUAAAACUCCCCAGAUUAAUAGAAUACAUCAGUCGCUGUAUUGUGAACAGGUAACAGGCUGAGGAAGGCAUCGGGGAGGAUGAUUAAGUUAAAAAGUGACUGCUGACCUCUCCCUCCAUCCUGAACCCCCCAACACAUACAGUUACAUACCUUCUGGGGACUGAAUGAUAACAGGAAAUGGUUGGUUAGUUAUAUCUUCCUUUGAAAAAUAAAAACAAAAACUUUUCACUGG